GCCCUCUUGAUGGAAUUGGUAGACAUAACGGACUUAAAAUCCGUGGCUAGUUAAUGGCGUGCCGGGUCAAGUCCGGCAGAGGGCACCA
rnacentral:tRNA from 1 species